UACAGAGGGUGCAAGCGUUAAUCGGAAUUACUGGGCGUAAAGCGUGCGUAGACGGUUAUGUAAGUCAGAUGUGAAAGCCCCGGGCUCAACCUGGGAAUUGCAUUUGAGACUGCAUAGCUAGGGUGCGGAAGAGGGAAGCGGAAUUUCCGGUGUAGCGGUGAAAUGCGUAGAUAUCGGAAGGAACACCAGUGGCGAAGGCGGCGACCUGGGUAGAUACUGACGCUGAGGUGCGAAAGCGUGGGGAGCAAACAGG
rnacentral:rRNA from 1 species